rnacentral:rRNA from 1 species
GCUUGUCUCAAAGAUUAAGCCAUGCAUGUCUAAGUGUAAAUACGUCUACACUGUGAAACUGCGAAUGGCUCAUUAAAUCAGUUAUCGUUUAUUUGAUGAUCUCUUGUUACAUGGAUAACCGUAGUAAUUCUAGAGCUAAUACAUGCGUCAAGCCCCGACUCACGAAGGGGUGUAUUUAUUAGAUUCAAAGCCAACCGCGCAAGCGUACCUUGGUGAUUCAUAAUAACUUGUCGAACCGCACGCCCUUGAGGCAGCGGUGAUUCAUUCAAAUUUCUGCCCUAUCAGCUUUCGACGGUAGUGUAGUGGACUACCGUGGCGCUAACGGGUGACGGAGAAUUAGGGUUCGGUUCCGGAGAGGGAGCCUGAGAAACGGCUACCACAUCCAAGGAAGGCAGCAGG